AAACUAACAAGGAUUCCCCUAGUAACGGCGAGUGAACAGGGAAGAGCUCAAAUUUGUAAUCUGGCGUCCCUUGGGCGUCCGAGUUGUAAUCUAUAGAAGCGUUUUCCGUGCUGGACCAUGUCCAAGUCCCUUGGAACAGGGUAUCAAAGAGGGUGACAAUCCCGUGCUUGACAUGACGACCAGUGCUCUGUGAUACGCUCUCUACGAGUCGAGUUGUUUGGGAAUGCAGCUCAAAAUGGGUGGUGAGUUCCAUCUAAAGCUAAAUAUUGGCGAGAGACCGAUAGCGAACAAGUACCGUGAGGGAAAGAUGAAAAGCACUUUGGAAAGAGAGUUAAACAGUACGUGAAAUUGUUGAAAGGGAAACGAUUGAAGUCAGUCGUGUCCGAGGGGUUCAGCCGGUCAUGCCGGUGUAUUCCCCUCGGAUGGGUCAAUGUCAGUUUGGACCGGUGGAAAAGGGCGGUUGGAAUGUGGCAGCUCCGGCUGUGUUAUAGCCUUCCGUCGCACACGCCGGUCUAGACUGAGGAAUGCAGCUCGCCUUUAUGGCUGGGGUUCUCCCACAUUCGAGCUUAGGAUGUUGACAUAAUGGCUUU
rnacentral:rRNA from 2 species